rnacentral:rRNA from 1 species
GACGAACCGAGCGACCGUUGUUCGGAAUCACUGGGCUUAAAGGGCGCGUAGGCGGGCAUUCAAGUCUGUGGUGAAAUCCGGCAGCUUAACUGUCGAAUUGCCAUGGAUACUGGGUGUCUCGAGGGAGGCAGGGGUGCGCGGAACUAAUGGUGGAGCGGUGAAAUGCGUUGAUAUCAUUAGGAACUCCGGUGGCGAAGGCGGCGCACUGGUCCUUUUCUGACGCUGAGGCGCGAAAGCCAGGGGAGCAAACGGG